rnacentral:tRNA from 5 species
GCCGGGGUGGCGGAACAGGCAGACGCUGCGGACUUAAAAUCCGCUGGGGCGAGGCCCCGUGUCGGUUCGAAUCCGAUCCCCGGCACCA